rnacentral:misc_RNA from 1 species
UGUUGAAGUUAAUAAGUUUCUUAUAUUUUGUGUUUACUAUUUUUAGUAGUAUUUAAAAUGGUCAAUCUAGGAAUAUGGGUUGCUUUAUGUGGGUAGUUUUUCUAAGUGACUUUUAAGUAUUUCAAUGCAAUAUUCUGUAUCUAUAUAAGCCCUCAUUAUCAAUGAAUUAAGAUAUGAGAACACACAUAUGAAAGUGUGUCUUUUGGGCUCCAUUUCUAGUUCUGUGCUAAUUCACAGUUCUUGAGUUAAUAUUCCAGACUUGUUCUAUUCUGGAAUUGUUCUAUUUCAUUUAUUUUCUAACAAGUGGUAUCAGAGCUUCCUUGUUCUUGAGGGACUUGUGAAGGGUUCAAACACUUUUUUCUUUGUGAGUGAAAUUCAGGUUUUGGGUGAGAGAAAACACAACCCGAAAAUGGCCUCUAGUAACAACUCUCUUGGAAAUGGUCCUCCAAUGUUUAAUGGAGAAAAUUACCAUAUUUGGGAGAUUAAAAUGAAGUCUUAUUUAAAGGCUUUGAAUUUGUGGGAUGCUGUUGAAAAUGGAGCAGAUCCGCCUCCCCUUGGUCCUAAUCCAACUUUGAAUCAAAUCAAGAAUUUUGAAGAAGCAAGUGUAAGAAAGCCGAAAGCUUUGACUUGUCUUCAUUCAAGUGUGACAGAUGUGAUUUUCACUAGAAUUAUGGCUUAUGAAACUCCAAAAGAAGUUUGGGAUAAACUUAAGGAGGAGUUUGAAGGGAGUGAUAGGGUGAAGAAAGUCAAACUUCGAACUCUAAAAAGAGAGUUUGAGAUGCUUAGAAUGAAAGAAGAUGAAACCGUGAAGCAAUAUGCCUCAAAGUUGAUGGAAUUGGUGAAUAAGAUCAGGCUGCUUGGAGAAAAGUUUGAAGAUGCUGAAGUGGUGGAGAAAAUCUUGAUUAGCUUGCCAGCAAGAUUUGAACCAAAGAUUUCUUCUAUUGAGGAGUCUUGUGAUCCUUCCAAUUUGUCUAUUGCUGAACUAAUUGGCAAAUUACAAGCCCAAGAGUAGAGAACUAAUUUAAGGGAGAAUGAGUCAAGUGAAGGAGCCUUUCAAGCUAAUCAAACCAGAUCUACUAGCUCAACUCAGAAUGCUGGAUUGGAACAACAAUCUGAUAAAGGGAGGUCUACUAGCACAAGAAAAGGAAAAGGCAAGGUUCUCUCAUGCUCUUUUUGUGGUAAAACUAAUCAUUUGGUGAAAGAUUGCUGGAAGAAAGAUAAGUCCAAGGCUCAAUGUAGAUUUUGCAAGAAGUUUGGACACUUUGAGAGGGAUUGUAAAUCAAAACAGAAUCAGCACAACAACUAUCAGGCCAAGAACCAGAACACCAAUCAGCAUAAGCAGCAAGCUAACUAUACAGAUGAUCAAGAUGAGUCCGGAAAUGCUUUUAUAGCUCAAGUCACAAAAGAGGUCAGUCAACACACUUGGUUGAUUGAUAGUGGCUAUACUAGUCAUAUGGCCAAGGAGGAAAGCAUGUUUAGCAAGCUUGAUAGAUCAGUCAACACCAAAGUCACUCUUGGGAAUGGACAAGUAGUUCAAGCUCAAGGAAGAGGCACUGUUUCUAUGAAAACUAAUGUUGGUACAAAGCUUAUUCACAAUGUCUUAUUCAUUCCUUCUCUAGCUAAAAAUCUCUUGAGUGUACCUCAAAUGAUGGCCAAUGGUUAUUCCUUAACUUUCAAGGGCCAACAUUGUUUUGUUUAUGACAAAGAUAGUAAUUUGAUGUGUAAAGUUGCUAUGGUGGAGAAAUGUUUUCCAUUAAAUUGGAAUUCAUUUUGUGAUAGUGUUAACUAUGCAAAAAUGGAUGAGUCUUUUCUAUGGCAUAAAAGGUAUGGG